rnacentral:rRNA from 1 species
AAAUUGAAGAGUUUGAUCAUGGCUCAGAUUGAACGCUGGCGGCAGGCCUAACACAUGCAAGUCGAGCGGAAACGAGUUAACUGAACCUUCGGGGGACGUUAACGGCGUCGAGCGGCGGACGGGUGAGUAAUGCCUAGGAAAUUGCCCUGAUGUGGGGGAUAACCAUUGGAAACGAUGGCUAAUACCGCAUGAUGCCUACGGGCCAAAGAGGGGGACCUUCGGGCCU